rnacentral:rRNA from 1 species
GAUGGACCCGCGGCUGAUUAGCUAGUUGGUAAGGUACCGGCUUACCAAGGCGACGAUCCGUAGCCGACCUGAGAGGGUGAGGGGCCACAGUGGAACUGAGACACGGUCCAAACGCCGACGGGAGGCAGCAGUGGGGAAUAGUGCACAAUGGGCGAAAGCCUGAUGCAGCAACGCCGCGUGAGGGAUGAAGGCCUUCGGGUCGUAAAACUCUGUCCUCAAGGAAGAUAAUGACGGUACUUGAGGCGGAAGCCCCGGCUAACUACGUGCCAGCAGCCGCGGUAAUACGUAGGGGGCUAGCGUUAUCCGGAGUUACUGGUCGUAAAGGGUGCGUAGGCUGUCUUGUAAGUCAGGAGUGCACGGCUACUGACCAACCGUACUAAGCUCUUGACACUGGGAGACUUGAGUGCAGGAGCGGAGAGUGGAAUGCC